CGCCGAACCGGCGCCGUGGCCGCAGGCACGGCCCCCAGGUGAGCAAGCUGCUCCUCUUCGGCUGCCUCUUCGUGUUUCAGGCCUGAGCAACGCGCACAUCAGCGGUGCUCGUGUUGCAGCGGAGUCCGCUCAGGCUGUUGGUUUUUGUUUUGUUUUUGGUUUUUUUCUUCCACCGGCGCUGCCGCGGGACUUAGGUGCUGCCCGCCCGCUCCCGGGUUAUCUAGAAGACACAGAUGCCCUCGAAGCUGUUGUGUUUCCAUCAGCCCCAAGCGUUUCUUCUCGUUCGCAGAAACUCACGCCCGAGGAGUGCUGCUGCCGGCGUCGCGGGGCCGGGCCGGGGCAGCCCGCUGCUCCGGGCGGAGGGCAGGCCGGCACGCCGACCCUCCACGGAGACACGGCCGCAGCUCCAGAGUUAAUUCAUGACAGUGGAUGGGGGUCUUUAAGCACAGCAUGAGUACCUCGGUGGAAGCCUGAGUGGAAGCCUCUCCUGCACUGCAGGGAAGACAAGUCCUUCCCACCACAAGAGAUCAGCAUAUCUAAUGCUGUUGUGCAGCUCUGCCCCUAAUUACGGCUCUGGGUUUUAUUUUUGUGGUUUCAUGUCUAAAGCUGAAAAGACUGCUUAGUAAAACAAGCUUAUCUACACUCCAGGGGAUAAUAGUUAUUUAUAUUAAUAAUGGAGCUUAUUUGCUAUUUCAACUCCUUUGAUUUUUUUUUUGACUUUCCAUCUCUUCCAUCUUUCCUGAACUAUGUAAAUAUACCUUCUUUGUAUUCUUCUUGCUCCCACACAUUACUCAAAUCUAUGUGUUCAAUCUUUCAAUACACUUGGCCCACAGAAACUCCAUAAAACCUUAGGCCUUUUUAGCCACAAACUCUGCUUUUUCUUCCAAGGUGGGGGAGGGAGUAACCCAGGCACAGAUGAUGGAUAAAGCAUUCCACAAAGCCUGCUUCCUAGGGGUGGACUCAACCCCUUCUCACAGCUCCCGCGAUUCAUGAUAGACUCCUAGAGUCAGAAUUGCAGCGUUCAAGCAGGCCCUUCCCUGGUUAGCAGUGUCUGUAGCCUGGGGAAAGAUCCCCAGUGGUCCCUGAUCAGUGUGGUCUCCUUUUGACUAACAGCUGCACUUGGGAUCUCAGAGAGGAAGCUGAAGAAAAGGGUCAUGUGAGAAACAACAGUGACUCAGACGACCCCACAGGAGUUCAUUAGGCAUGGUAAUAGGGUCUCUUUCACCUCUAAGGCAGACAGCAAAGCAUAGCGUGAGGGAAAGGGCCUGGAAGGUCAUCCUAACAUACACAUAUGCUCUCCUAGGCAAAUGAAAAUGUUUUUUUGAUUGGUAGCCUGAUUGGAUGCCAGGCCUGGAAGCUGGAACCUGUCCACCUCCUCCUCCUCCCACCCAGAGACCACACAGGGGCUGACUAUAGCUCUACAGAGGAGGGGAGCCUAGAGGGGGAAAGUUCAC
rnacentral:lncRNA from 1 species